AUAUUACUCCCUCCGUUCGGAAUUACUUGUCGUAGACAUGGAUGUAUCUAGAUGUAUUUUAGUUUUAGAUACAUACAUUUUCGAGACAAGUAAUUUUGAACGGAGGGAGUAGCAG
rfam:Triticum urartu cultivar G1812 contig1234405, whole genome shotgun sequence.